AAAAGCUUAGUUAAAUAAUAAUAUAAGUUUGUCAGGCUUAAGUUGUCUUCAGCUUUUA
rnacentral:tRNA from 1 species